rnacentral:piRNA from 1 species
UGUAAGAUCGAGAAUUGUCAAAUGGG